rnacentral:sRNA from 1 species
GAGCCGAGCGGUGCGGAGCAGAUCUGGUGGUUCUCCAGAGAGCAGCUUCCUCGGGUGUUACAUGAGCCAAGCCCUCACUGUACAGAAGAGUGAGAGCUGAAACCUGUUCCCUGAGCUGAUCAGAAGAACAUCCCUUGGCCCCUUCAUCUGGGCUCCUGUGGAUAGGAGGGGCUGGGUGAGCAGGCCAGCUGGGCUAUGGUGUGGUGCCUCGGCCUGGCCGUCCUCAGCCUGGUCAUCAGCCAGGGGGCUGACGGUCGAGGGAAGCCUGAGGUGGUAUCGGUGGUGGGCCGGGCUGGGGAGAGUGUGGUGCUGGGCUGUGACCUGCUGCCCCCCGCCGGCCGGCCCCCCCUGCAUGUCAUCGAGUGGCUGCGCUUUGGAUUCCUGCUUCCCAUCUUCAUCCAGUUUGGCCUCUACUCUCCCCGAAUUGACCCUGAUUACGUGGGACGAGUCCGGCUGCAGAAGGGGGCCUCUCUCCAGAUUGAGGGUCUCCGGGUGGAAGACCAGGGCUGGUACGAGUGCCGCGUGUUCUUCCUGGACCAGCACAUCCCUGAAGAUGAUUUUGCUAACGGCUCCUGGGUGCAUCUGACAGUCAAUUCGCCCCCUCAAUUCCAGGAGACACCUCCUGCUGUGUUGGAAGUGCAGGAACUGGAGCCUGUGACCCUGCGUUGUGUGGCCCGCGGCAGCCCCCUGCCUCGUGUGACGUGGAAGCUCCGAGGAAAGGACCUUGGCCAGGGCCAGGGCCAGGUGCAAGUGCAGAACGGGACGCUGCGGAUCCGCCGGGUAGAGCGAGGCAGCUCUGGGGUCUACACCUGCCAAGCCUCCAGCACUGAGGGCAGCGCCACCCACGCCACCCAGCUGCUAGUGCUAGGACCCCCAGUCAUCGUGGUGCCCCCCAAGAACAGCACAGUCAAUGCCUCCCAGGAUGUUUCCUUGGCCUGCCACGCUGAGGCAUACCCCACUAACCUCACCUACAGCUGGUUCCAGGACAACAUCAAUGUCUUCCACAUUAGCCGCCUGCAGCCCCGGGUGCGGAUCCUGGUGGACGGGAGCCUGCGGCUGCUGGCCACCCAACCUGAUGAUGCCGGCUGCUACACCUGUGUGCCCAGCAAUGGCCUCCUGCAUCCACCCUCAGCCUCUGCCUACCUCACUGUGCUCUACCCAGCCCAGGUGACAGCUAUGCCUCCUGAGACACCCCUGCCCAUAGGCAUGCCGGGGGUGAUCCGCUGCCCGGUUCGUGCCAACCCCCCACUGCUCUUUGUCAGCUGGACCAAGGAUGGAAAGGCCCUGCAGCUGGACAAGUUCCCUGGCUGGUCCCAGGGCACAGAAGGCUCACUGAUCAUCGCCCUGGGGAACGAGGAUGCCCUGGGAGAAUACUCCUGCACCCCCUACAACAGUCUUGGUACCGCCGGGCCCUCUCCUGUGACCCGCGUGCUGCUCAAGGCUCCCCCAGCUUUUAUAGAGCGGCCCAAGGAAGAAUAUUUCCAAGAAGUAGGGCGGGAGCUGCUCAUCCCCUGCUCCGCCCAAGGGGACCCUCCUCCUGUUGUCUCUUGGACCAAGGUGGGCCGGGGGCUGCAAGGCCAGGCCCAGGUGGACAGCAACAGCAGCCUCAUCCUGCGACCAUUGACCAAGGAGGCCCACGGGCACUGGGAAUGCAGUGCCAGCAAUGCUGUGGCCCGAGUGGCCACCUCCACGAACGUCUACGUGCUGGGGCCAAGCGUCCUGACCGAAUGCACCAUGACUGGGUGUCCUUGGCAGUGCCUGUGGGGGCUGCUCACCUCCUAGUGCCAGGGCUGCAGCCCCACACCCAGUACCAGUUCAGCGUGCUAGCUCAGAACAAGCUGGGGAGUGGUCCCUUCAGCGAAAUCGUCUUGUCUGCUCCUGAAGGGCUUCCUACCACGCCAGCUGCACCCAGGCUUCCCCCAACAGAGAUACCGCCUCCCCUGUCCCCUCCGCGGGGUCUGGUGGCAGUGAGGACACCCCGGGGGGUACUCCUGCAUUGGGAUCCCCCAGAGCUGGUCCCUAAGAGACUGGAUGGCUACGUCUUGGAAGGCCGGCAAGGCUCCCAGGGCUGGGAGGUGCUGGACCCGGCUGUGGCAGGCACAGAAACAGAGCUGCUGGUGCCAGGCCUCAUCAAGGAUGUUCUCUACGAGUUCCGCCUCGUGGCCUUCGCGGGCAGCUUCGUCAGCGACCCCAGCAACACGGCCAACGUAUCCACUUCCGCUCCCGGGUCUCCUGCCCCAGCCCGUGCUGGCCGGCGUGGUGGGCGGAGUCUGCUUUCUGGGCGUGGCCGUUCUUGUGAGCAUCCUGGCCGCCUGCCUCAUGAACCGGCGCAGGGCUGCCCGCCGCCGCCGCAAGCGCCUCCGCCAAGAUCCACCUCUUAUCUUCUCUCCGACCGGGAAGUCAGCUGCACCCUCUGCUCUGGGCUCAGGCAGUCCUGACAGCGUGGCGAAGCUGAAGCUCCAGGGAUCCCCAGUCCCCAGCCUGCGCCAGAGUCUGCUCUGGGGGGAUCCUGCCGGAACUCCCAGCCCCCACCCGGAUCCUCCAUCUAGCCGGGGACCCUUACCUCUGGAGCCCAUUUGCCGGGGCCCAGACGGGCGCUUUGUGAUGGGGCCCACUGUGGCGGCCCCCCAGGAAAGGUCAGGCCGGGAGAAGGCAGAACCUCGGACUCCAGCCCAGCGUCUGGCCCGGUCCUUUGACUGUAGCAGCAGCAGCCCCAGUGGGGCACCCCAGCCCCUCUGCAUUGAAGACAUCAGCCCUGUGGCACCCCCUCCAGCAGCCCCACCCAGUCCCUUGCCAGGUCCCGGACCCCUGCUCCAGUACCUGAGCCUGCCCUUCUUCCGAGAGAUGAAUGUGGAUGGGGACUGGCCCCCUCUUGAGGAGCCCAGCCCUGCUGCACCCCCAGAUUACAUGGAUACCCGGCGCUGUCCCACCUCAUCUUUCCUUCGUUCUCCAGACACCCCUCCUGUAUCCCCCAGGGAAUCACUUCCUGGGGCUGUGGUAGGGGCUGGGGCCACCGCAGAGCCCCCUUACACAGCCCUGGCUGACUGGACACUGAGGGAGCGGCUGCUGCCAGGCCUUCUCCCUGCUGCCCCUCGAGGCAGCCUCACCAGCCAGAGCAGCGGGCGAGGCAGCGCUUCGUUCCUGCGGCCCCCCUCCACAGCCCCCUCUGCAGGAGGCAGCUACCUCAGCCCUGCUCCAGGAGACACCAGCAGCUGGGCCAGUGGCCCUGAGAGAUGGCCCCGAAGGGAGCAUGUGGUGACAGUCAGCAAGAGGAGGAACACAUCUGUGGACGAGAACUAUGAGUGGGACUCAGAAUUCCCUGGGGACAUGGAAUUGCUGGAGACUUUGCACCUGGGCUUGGCCAGCUCCCGGCUCAGACCUGAAGCUGAGCCAGAGCUAGGUGUGAAGACUCCAGAGGAGGGCUGCCUCCUGAACACUGCCCAUGUUACUGGCCCUGAGGCCCGCUGUGCUGCCCUUCGGGAGGAAUUCCUGGCCUUCCGCCGCCGCCGAGAUGCUACUAGGGCUCGGCUACCAGCCUAUCGACAGCCAGUCCCCCACCCCGAACAGGCCACUCUGCUGUGAACAUCCCUAAUGUGAGGCUGUGAAAAGGCAUAUGGACCUGCAAAGGAGGCCCCCAACCAGACAGACCUAGUUUCAAAUGAGGGCACUGCCCCUGCCUGCCCCUUUGGUGCCCAGGCACAGACCCUGAUAGUGGGCUUGGGUCACCUUGGUAUGGAAUGUAUGUGCUGACCCCCUAGGUGAGUCUGGGGAUUGGAACAGGGACCUUAGGUCUGCCUCUCUCUCUCUCUCUCUGUAUGUGUGCGUGUGUGUGUGUGUGUGUGUGAAGUUUUUUACAGGUGAAUAAACAAAGUUUGAAAGAUG